rnacentral:ncRNA from 1 species
AGAUCUCAAAUCAGGUAGGACUACCCGCUGAACUUAAGCAUAUCAAUAAGCGGAGGAAAAGAAACUAACAAGGAUUCCCCUAGUAGCGGCGAGCGAAGCGGGAAGAGCUCAAAUUUAUAAUCUGGCACCUUCGGUGUCCGAGUUGUAAUCUCUAGAAAUGUUUUCCGCGUUGGACCGCACACAAGUCUGUUGGAAUACAGCGGCAUAGUGGUGAGACCCCCGUAUAUGGUGCGGAC